AAUCAACGCUGGCGGCGUGCCUCAGACAUGCAAGUCGAACGCGAAAGUUCCCUUCGGGGAGCGAGUAGAGUGGCGCACGGGUGAGUAACACGUGGGUAAUUUACCUUCGGGUGGGGAAUAACAGUCGGAACGACUGCUAAUACCGCAUGAUGCAGCGGCACCACAUGGUGACAGUUGUUAAAGCGGGGGAGUCGCAAGACCUCGCGCCUGAAGAGAAGCCCGCGGCAGAUUAGCUAGUUGGUAAGGUAAUGGCUUACCAAGGCAACGAUCUGUAGCCGGCCUGAGAGGGCGGUCGGCCACACUGACACUGAAUAACGGGUCAGACUCCUACGGGAGGCAGCAGUCGGGAAUUUUGGGCAAUGGGCGAAAGCCUGACCCAGCAACGCCGCGUGAAGGAUGAAGUAUUUCGGUAUGUAAACUUCACAAGAAU
rnacentral:rRNA from 1 species